rnacentral:rRNA from 1 species
GAUGAACGCUGGCGGCGUGCUUAACACAUGCAAGUCGAACGGGAAACCUUUUAUUGAAGCUUCGGCAGAUUUAGCUGGUUUCUAGUGGCGGACGGGGGAGUAACGCGUGGGUAACCUGCCUUAUACAGGGGGAUAACAACCAGAAAUGGUUGCUAAUACCGCAUAAGCGCACAGGACCGCAUGGUCCGGUGUGAAAAACUCCGGUGGUAUAAGAUGGACCCGCGUUGGAUUAGCUAGUUGGCAGGGUAACGGCCUACCAAGGCGACGAUCCAUAGCCGGCCUGAGAGGGUGAACGGCCACAGUGGGACUGAGACACGGCCCAGACUCCUACGGGAGGCAGCAGUGGGGAAUAUUGCACAAUGGGGGAAACCCUGAUGCAGCGACGCCGCGUGAAGGAAGAAGUAUCUCGGGAUGUAAACUUCUAUCAGCAGGGAAGAUAGUGACGGUACCUGACUAAGAAGCCCCGGCUAACUACGUG